CAGCAGCCGCGGUAGUACGUAGGUGGCAAGCGUUGUCCGGAAUUAUUGGGCGUAAAGGGCUCGCAGGCGGUUUCUUAAGUCUGAUGUGAAAGCCCCCGGCUCAACCGGGGAGGGUCAAUGGAAACUGGGAAACUUGAGUGCAGAAGAGGAGAGUGGAAUUCCACGUGUAGCGGUGAAAUGUGUAGAGAUGUGGAGGAACACCAGUGGCGAAGGCGACUCUCUGGUCUGUAACUGACGCUGAGGAGCGAAAGCGUGGGGAGCGAACAGGAUUAGAUACCCGUGUAGUCCCUGUCUCUUAUAA
rnacentral:rRNA from 1 species